rnacentral:misc_RNA from 1 species
UUGAUUCAUUUGUUUUCGUUACUCAGAAGGAGAUUCCGCCGAGAGCGAAGGCAAGAGUUUGGUCCCCCGGCGGGCGCCUGGCUCCGGGCCUCCUCCCACGGGGGGAUCGGGCGCCGGGGCGGUCCGCCGAAGCAACGUAUGGUAUGUUCACAGGGGUUUGGGAGUUGGUACAACUCGUUAAUGAUCCCUCCGCUGGUUCACCAACGGAGA